GCCUUUCACCUGGUCCCAAUCUGGAAGGAAGCCUUGAGCUCUGCAGCUGCCCCGCACACCUGUCCCACACACCUGCCAGACUGGGGAGCCACGGGUGUGGAGCAGACCCAGAGCAGGAUGUGUGUGCAGGGAGGUGAAUGGGCCUCCGGCUGCCCAGACUCGGUGGGGACUCAGCUGCCAUGACACAUGCACACCAGCUCCCCCACCCCCACUCUGUGUGCUUCAGGGAUCCUGACGUCAGAGGAUGCCGGAGUUCUGGGCUUCACUUGAAUUCAGGAGACAAAGGAGAAAGCAGCCAGGAGAGUGAAGGGGCAGAAUCCCGGCCACGCACGCUCUGCCAGGCUGUGACGGUGCUGACGUCCCACACCUGGGCAUGCGUUGUGCUCUCGGCCUGGGGAACAGGACUGCUCCGAAGCCACAGGCCCUGGAGGAGACCGCGGGCUCGGGUGAGGACGCUGUGCUGUGUCCGCCCCGGCAUGAGCACCGGUCAGAAGGGGCCAGGCGCAGCCCUGGCAUGCACCCACGUGACAGGCGGUUGGCCGGCAGCAUCCACACGCAGACUCUCCACGGCACAGACGCUGCUGUUGCCUCAUCACCACAUCACCUCCGAGGAAACCGAGGCACAGGGGCAGCCAGCCGCCUGCUCCCGACAGUGGCAUGAGGCCAGUGGGAAGGUCCUGAGGCCAGGUCACUCGGGAGGUGACAAGGGGAAGACGGCACCCGGGCAGCACAGGCCUGAGCUUGAGGGGAGCCGGGACCCCGAGCAGCCUCUGAUCAGCUUAGAGUUUGCGCACCAGCCGGCCUGACCAUGUCACCAUGAGUCCACGCUGCUGCCUGAAGGGUAGAGGUGGCUGGGGAGCCACAGAAGCCCGCGUCGUGACCCGGAAGCCCUGGAGUACCACAUCUGUCUCAGUGCCAACUUGCCCACAGUUGAUUAAAAAGCAAAAUCACCCG
rnacentral:lncRNA from 1 species